ACGAACGCUGGCGGCACGCUUAACACAUGCAAGUCGAACGAGAGAAGAGGAGCUUGCUUUUCUGAUCUAGUGGCGGACGGGUGAGUAACACGUGAGCAAUCUGCCUUUCAGAGGGGGAUACCGAUUGGAAACGAUCGUUAAUACCGCAUAACAUAAUUGAACCGCAUGAUUUGAUUAUCAAAGAUUUAUCGCUGAAAGAUGAGCUCGCGUCUGAUUAGCUAGUUGGUAAGGUAACGGCUUACCAAGGCGACGAUCAGUAGCCGGACUGAGAGGUUGAUCGGCCACAUUGGGACUGAGACACGGCCCAGACUCCUACGGGAGGCAGCAGUGGGGAAUAUUGCACAAUGGAGGAAACUCUGAUGCAGCGAUGCCGCGUGAGGGAAGAAGGUUUUAGGAUUGUAAACCUCUGUCUUCAGGGACGAAAAAAGACGGUACCUGAGGAGGAAGCUCCGGCUAACUACGUGCCAGCAGCCGCGGUAAUACGUAGGGAGCGAGCGUUGUCCGGAAUUACUGGGUGUAAAGGGAGCGUAGGCGGGAUCGCAAGUCAGAUGUGAAAACUAUGGGCUUAACCCAUAAACUGCAUUUGAAACUGUGGUUCUUGAGUGAAGUAGAGGUAAGCGGAAUUCCUAGUGUAGCGGUGAAAUGCGUAGAUAUUAGGAGGAACAUCAGUGGCGAAGGCGGCUUACUGGGCUUUAACUGACGCUGAGGCUCGAAAGCGUGGGGAGCAAACAGGAUUAGAUACCCUGGUAGUCCACGCCGUAAACGAUGAUUACUAGGUGUGGGGGGACUGACCCCUUCCGUGCCGCAGCAAACGCAAUAAGUAAUCCACCUGGGGAGUAUGACCGCAAGGUUGAAACUCAAAGGAAUUGACGGGGGCCCGCACAAGCAGUGGAGUAUGUGGAUUAAUUCGAAGCAACGCGAAGAACCUUACCAGGUCUUGACAUCGUAUGCAUAGCUCAGAGAUGAGUGAAAUCUCUUCGGAGACAUAUAGACAGGUGGUGCAUGGUUGUCGUCAGCUCGUGUCGUGAGAUGUUGGGUUAAGUCCCGCAACGAGCGCAACCCUUACUGUUAGUUGCUACGCAAGAGCACUCUAGCAGGACUGCCGUUGACAAAACGGAGGAAGGUGGGGAUGACGUCAAAUCAUCAUGCCCCUUAUGACCUGGGCCUCACACGUACUACAAUGGCUGUCAACAGAGGGAAGCAAAGCCGCGAGGUGGAGCAAACCCCUAAAAGCAGUCUUAGUUCGGAUUGUAGGCUGCAACCCGCCUACAUGAAGUCGGAAUUGCUAGUAAUCGCAGAUCAGCAUGCUGCGGUGAAUACGUUCCCGGGCCUUGUACACACCGCCCAUCACGCCAUGGGAGUCGGUAACACCCGAAGCCUGUAGUCUAACCGCAAGGAGGACGCAGUCGAAGGUGGGAUUGAUGACUGGGGUG
rnacentral:rRNA from 1 species